GAUGAACGCUGGCGGCGUGCCUAAUACAUGCAAGUCGAGCGAACAGAUGAGGAGCUUGCUCCUCUGACGUUAGCGGCGGACGGGUGAGUAACACGUGGAUAACCUACCUAUAAGACUGGGAUAACUUCGGGAAACCGGAGCUAAUACCGGAUAAUAUAUUGAACCGCAUGGUUCAAUAGUGAAAGACGGUUUUGCUGUCACUUAUAGAUGGAUCCGCGCCGCAUUAGCUAGUUGGUAAGGUAACGGCUUACCAAGGCAACGAUGCGUAGCCGACCUGAGAGGGUGAUAGGCCACACUGGAACUGAGACACGGUCCAGACUCCUAAGGGAGGCAGCAGUAGGGAAUCUUACGCAAUGGGCGAAAGCCUGACGGAGCAACGCCGCGUGAGUGAUGAAGGUCUUCGGAUCGUAAAACUCUGUUAUUAGGGAAGAACAAAUGUGUAAGUAACUAUGCACGGCUUGACGGUACCUAAUCAGAAAGCCACGGCUAACUACGUG
rnacentral:rRNA from 1 species